GACGAACGCUGGCGGCGUGCUUAACACAUGCAAGUCGAACGAAGAGCGAUGGAAGCUUGCUUCUAUCAAUCUUAGUGGCGAACGGGUGAGUAACGCGUAAUCAACCUGCCCUUCAGAGGGGGACAACAGUUGGAAACGACUGCUAAUACCGCAUACGAUCUAAUCUCGGCAUCGAGGAUAGAUGAAAGGUGGCCUCUACAUGUAAGCUAUCACUGAAGGAGGGGAUUGCGUCUGAUUAGCUAGUUGGAGGGGUAACGGCGCACCAAGGCGAUGAUCAGUAGCCGGUCUGAGAGGAUGAGCGGCCACAUUGAGACUGAGACACGGCCCAGACUCCUACGGGAGGCAGCAGUGGGGAAUCUUCCGCAAGGGACGAAAGUCUGACGGAGCAACGCCGCGUGAGUGAUGACGGCCGUCGGGUUGUAAAGCUCUGUUAAUCGGGACGAAAGGCCUUCUUGCGAAUAGGGAGAAGGAUUGACGGUACCGGAAUAGAAAGCCACGGCUAACAACGUG
rnacentral:rRNA from 1 species